rnacentral:lncRNA from 1 species
CUCAUUCGGAUAAAUACACCUCCGAUUGGUGGCCAAGCUGAUCCGGUGUCAUGAAUACCCCCAAGUGCUGUGACUAAGUCAUGCUGGUAUGCUAAAAAAAAAACCGGCUGAAGCUGGUGCCUAGGCCGAAGCCGGUGCCUAGGCCGAAGCCAACAACAAGGGUGUACAACGCCGAAUCAUAAUAGAUACUAAGGCGUACAACGCCGAACCACGAUCAACCAGAUCGAAAUACAUGAUAAGAG